AGCCGGUGACGAUAAACUCCUUUACUUUCUGACACCUCAUAUGAGAGCUGAACUCCAGCUCCUGAUUCAUACUCACAUCUGAGGCUC
ensembl:snoRNA small nucleolar RNA SNORD60